rnacentral:sRNA from 1 species
AGUUAUAUAUGGCGGUCGGUUUUCCUAGCCAUGUUUUCCUGGACGGUACCAUCACCAGUACUAACUACCCUUCCUAAAGCCGACAAGUUCACCACAUGUGGAGGAAAAUCAAUAUCUUAUCAAAUUUUUAUGGAAGAGUUUGACCUGCCGCAACUGAGAUUUGAACCCGGUCCUCCCGGUUACAAGGUGAGUGAACUAACUACUGAGCCACGUACCCGGGAGGUC